UAAGCAUAUCAAUAAGCGGAGGAAAAGAAACCAACAGGGAUUGCCCUAGUAACGGCGAGUGAAGCGGCAACAGCUCAAAUUUGAAAUCUGGCUCUUUUAGAGUCCGAGUUGUAAUUUGCAGAGGGCGCUUUGGCUUUGGCAGCGGUCCAAGUUCCUUGGAACAGGACGUCACAGAGGGUGAGAAUCCCGUACGUGGUCGCUGGCUAUUGCCGUGUAAAGCCCCUUCGACGAGUCGAGUUGUUUGGGAAUGCAGCUCUAAAUGGGAGGUACAUUUCUUCUAAAGCUAAAUAUUGGCCAGAGACCGAUAGCGCACAAGUAGAGUGAUCGAAAGAUGAAAAGCACUUUGGAAAGAGAGUCAAACAGCACGUGAAAUUGUUGAAAGGGAAGCGCUUGCAGCCAGACUUGCUUACAGUUGCUCAUCCGGGUUUCUACCCGGUGCACUCUUCUGUAGGCAGGCCAGCAUCAGUUUGGGCGGUAGGAUAAAGGUCUCUGUCACGUACCUCCUUUCGGGGAGGCCUUAUAGGGGAGACGACAUACUACCAGCCUGGACUGAGGUCCGCGCAUCUGCUAGGAUGCUGGCGUAAUGGCUGUAAGCGGCCCGUCUUGAAACACGGACCAAGGAGUCUAACAUCUAUGCGAGUGUUUGGGUGUCAAGCCCGAGCGCGUAAUGAAAGUGAACGGAGGUGGGAACCCGCAAGGGUGCACCAUCGACCGAUCCUGAUGUCUUCGGAAGGAUUUGAGUAAGAGCAUGGCUGUUGGGACCCGAAAGAUGGUGAACUAUGCUUGAAUAGGGUGAAGCCAGAGGAAACUCUGGUGGAGGCUCGCAGCGGUUCUGACGUGCAAAUCGAUCGUCAAAUUUGGGCAUAGGGGCGAAAGACUAAUCGAACUAUCUAGUAGCUGGUUCCUGCCGAAGU
rnacentral:rRNA from 1 species